rnacentral:rRNA from 1 species
GAGUUUGAUCGUGGCUCAGGACGAACGCUGGCGGCGUGCCUAACACAUGCAAGUCGAGCGGAAAGGCUCCUUCGGGAGUACUCGAGCGGCGAACGGGUGAGUAACACGUGGGUAAUCUGCCCAGGACACAGGAAUAACCAGUGGAAACGCUGGCUAAUGCCUGAUGAAGUGCCGGCCCUGCGGGGCUUGGUACCAAAGGUAGCUUCGGCCUCCGGUCUUGGAUGAGCCCGCGGCCCAUUAGCUUGUUGGCGGGGUAACGGCCCACCAAGGCGACGAUGGGUAGCUGGUCUGAGAGGACGAUCAGCCACACUGGGACUGAGACACGGCCCAGACUCCUACGGGGGGCAGCAGUGGGGAAUCUUGCGCAAUGGGCGAAAGCCUGACGCAGCAACGCCGCGUGCGGGAAG